GAUGAAGAACGUAGCGAAAUGCGAUAAGUAAUGUGAAUUGCAGAAUUCAGUGAAUCAUCGAAUCUUUGAACGCACAUUGCGCCCGCCAGUAUUCUGGCGGGCAUGCCUGUUCGAGCGUCAUUUCAACCAUCAAGCCCCCGGCUUGUGUUGGGGACCUGCGGCUGCCGCAGGCCCUGAAAAGCAGUGGCGGGCUCGCUGUCACACCGAGCGUAGUAGCAUACAUCUCGCUCUGGGCGUGCUGCGGGUUCCGGCCGUUAAACCACCUUCAUAACCCAAGGUUGACCUCGGAUCAGGUAGGAUGACCCGCUGAACUUAAGCAUAUCAAUAAGCGGAGGA
rnacentral:misc_RNA from 1 species